rnacentral:rRNA from 1 species
GUACACUCCUGCGGGAGGCAGCAGUGGGGAAUAUUGGACAAUGGGCGCAAGCCUGAUCCAGCCAUGCCGCGUGAGUGAUGAAGGCCCUAGGGUUGUAAAGCUCUUUCACCGGUGAAGAUAAUGACGGUAACCGGAGAAGAAGCCCCGGCUAACUUCGUGCCAGCAGCCGCGGUAAUACGAAGGGGGCUAGCGUUGUUCGGAUUUACUGGGCGUAAAGCGCACGUAGGCGGACUAUUAAGUCAGGGGUGAAAUCCCGGGGCUCAACCCCGGAACUGCCUUUGAUACUGGUAGUCUUGAGUUCGAGAGAGGUGAGUGGAAUUCCGAGUGUAGAGGUGAAAUUCGUAGAUAUUCGGAGGAACACCAGUGGCGAAGGCGGCUCACUGGCUCGAUUCUGACGCUGAGGUGCGAAAGCGUGGGGAGCAAACAGGAUUAGAUACCCCUGUAGUCCC